rnacentral:lncRNA from 1 species
UUGCUUGUAGUUUUGAAUAAUAAACAGUUGGGCCUUCACCGACAUAUGUAACAGUCCUGUAAACCGAUACAUUUCCAGACAUAUUAAAAACACCGAUAGAAGGAUAGUUGAAGUUAUAGGAGGGUAUGGGAGGAUUCUUGCAGUAAACCGGUGUUCCGGUCAAGUUCUUGAGUUGUGCAACGCUUGCCCCAUAGCUGCAAAGAAAAUCGAUGAGAUUGUUGGUGUCAUAAUCAUAAAUGAGCCCGGGAUCUAUUGCUGCAGCUGGAUUUAUGUGUCCUGAUCCGUAAUCAAAAGGCAUCGCAUUUGAAGAAUCGUCGUUUCUUAUGAAAUUUCGGGUGUUAUCAGCGAUGGUUGCUACUUUAUCGCGGCUGGGCUCCAAUAAGGAUGAACCGAUUUCAAUAGUGCAACCACCGCAGAUACAUGUGGACACGACAUAGAGGUGCCAGAGAGAAUGUUAUAGUUGAUGCUGUCUGCUGUCGAUACUGGAGACCAUGCGGCCAAAAUGUUCACUCCUGGUGCGGUUAUAUCCGGCUGCAUUCAUUUUCGUUGCACGAAUUAGAAUUCAGAGUUUCAUGUGGUAAAAUAAUACAUAUUGGAAAGAUACCGACUUUAAUGAUGUCGGGAGUUAUAACGUUUGGUCCCUUGGAGGAGAAGACCGCCAUCGCUGGUGCUGGUUUAAUCCCGACAUUUGUUACCGUUAGGGAGAUCCUAGCCGUUGGAUUCCUAGAAUUACGAUGAAACUAUUUCGGUCAGACGAUAAUUAUGUUUUUAACCCAUUAAUUGUCUAGAGAAUGUAUUCAUGAUUUAGUGACUUACUUUUCGGUUGUC